rnacentral:rRNA from 1 species
CCCCUGAAAGAUGAUCAGGUUGAUAGGUCUGAGGUGGAAGUGUGGCGACACAUGGAGCUGACAGAUACUAAUCGAUCGAGGACUUAACCAU